rnacentral:rRNA from 2 species
AACGAACGCUGGCGGCAUGCCUAACACAUGCAAGUCGAACGAGACCUUCGGGUCUAGUGGCGCACGGGUGCGUAACACGUGGGAAUCUGCCCUUUGCUUCGGAAUAACAGUUAGAAAUGACUGCUAAUACCGGAUGAUGUCGAAAGACCAAAGAUUUAUCGGCAAAGGAUGAGCCCGCGUAGGAUUAGGUAGUUGGUGGGGUAAAGGCCUACCAAGCCGACGAUCCUUAGCUGGUCUGAGAGGAUGAUCAGCCACACUGGGACUGAGACACGGCCCAGACUCCUACGGGAGGCAGCAGUGGGGAAUAUUGGACAAUGGGCGAAAGCCUGAUCCAGCAAUGCCGCGUGAGUGAUGAAGGCCUUAGGGUUGUAAAGCUCUUUUACCAGGGAUGAUAAUGACAGUACCUGGAGAAUAAGCUCCGGCUAACUCCG